CCUACGGGUGGCAGCAGUAGGGAAUAUUGCUCAAUGGGGGAAACCCUGAAGCAGCAACGCCGCGUGGAGGAUGAAGGUUUUCGGAUUGUAAAGCUCUUUCGGACGUGACGAUGAUGACGGUAGCGUCUAAAGAAGCACCGGCAAACUUCGUGCCAGCAGCCGCGGUAAUACGAAGGGUGCGAGCGUUGUUCGGAAUUACUGGGCGUAAAGGGAGUGUAGGCGGAUAUGUAAGAUAGCGGUGAAAUGCCGGGGCUCAACCCCGGAACUGCCAUUAUGACUAUGUAUCUAGAGUAAUGGAGAGGAUAGCGGAAUACCCAGUGUAGAGGUGAAAUUCGUAGAUAUUGGGUAGAACACCGGUGGCGAAGGCGGCUAUCUGGCCAUUUACUGACGCUGAGGCUCGAAAGCAUGGGGAUCAAACAGGAUUAGAUACCCUGGUAGUC
rnacentral:rRNA from 1 species